rnacentral:misc_RNA from 1 species
CAGAAGCAGAGAUGCGAAUCUCUACAACCCUUUGUGAACCUAUAUCGUGUGUUGCUCCCGGCGGGCAGCCCCUGGGAGGGGCCGCGGCCUCCGCGAGGAGGUGCCCGCCGGCGGGCCCCCAAACUCUUGUCGUGUGUCCACUCUGAGCGAAGCGAGAAAAUAGUCA